rnacentral:rRNA from 1 species
UACGGGGGGGGCAAACGUUGUUCGGAAUUACUGGGCGUAAAGGGUUUGUAGGUGGCUUGCUAAGUCAGACGUGAAAUCCCUCAGCUUAACUGGGGAACUGCGUCUGAGACUGGUGAGCUUGAGUGCAGGAGAGGAACGCGGAAUUCCAGGUGUAGCGGUGAAAUGCGUAGAUAUCUGGAGGAACACCAACGGCGAAGGCAGCUCGCUAGGACGGUACUGACGCUGAGGCGCGAAAGCGUGGGGAGCGAACAGG